UUUUAGCACCAUAUUGCUAAUUGAUGUCACUCAUUAGCUAUUUGUGCAGCGUACAUGGUUAUAUCAUUUGUGUUUAUAAGCAAUAUCAUUUGAGCAGUACUAAAACAUGCCAUUUUUAGUGGAUGUAGUGUAAGGAACUUAUAUUAAUUUAAGUUCCCUGGUAUUCCCUCCUUUGUUUCAAUAAAAUGAUGAUUUUUCGGACAAUGAUUAUGAGCAAGAGAAAUGGCCAAGGAGGAAAGGAAAGGCAGAGACAUUUUCAAAUUUCGGCUUUGAGGAAAAGGCAUGCAGGGUUGAUGCCCAGACAAAAUGGAAGUAUGUGGCUGAAACAGAUGCUAACAGCUUGCAUUCUGAUGAUGAUCUGAAUGCACUUUUAAAGGAAGAGGAAGAGCUGGUAAUUGCGCACCGUAAACAAGUUGACGAUACGAUAAAUAUUGUUAGGGAGUAUGCUUUUACAAGCUUUGGUGACAUCUGAAGCAAAUGAAGGUCUUGAGGCUAUCCAUGCAAGCUUAGGAGGGGGUAGCUCGAGUCUUCUUUUGACGAUGAUUAGAGAUGAAAGAAUGUGUCUUCCCCAAACUUUUAUUUUAAUUUGUUUUAGAUAGUUUCAUGUAUUUUUCUUUAGAACAAUUAGGAUAUUAACUCUUGUUAUUAGUAUUGAAUAUUUGAGGAUGGUGGAAUUUUAUUUAUUGAUGUUAUUAACGAAUGAAAUUUUUAUUUUCCCU